rnacentral:rRNA from 1 species
CUAAGAAUCUUCCGCAAUGGGGGCAACCCUGACGGAGCGACGCCGCGUGGACGAUGAAGGCCGUAAGGUUGUAAAGUCCUUUUGCAGGUGAAGAAUAAGCGGGGGAGUGGAAAGCCCUCGUGAUGACGUUAGCCUGCGAAGAAGCCCCGGCCAAUUACGUGCCAGCAGCCGCGGUAAUACGUAUGGGGCGAGCGUUGUUCGGAGUUAUUGGGCGUAAAGGGCGUGUAGGCGGCCCGAGAAGUCUGGUGUGAAAUCGCAGGGCUCAACCCGUGCGGGUGCGCUGGAAACUGACGGGCUUGAGUCCCGGGGGGGAAGCUGGAAUUCCUGGUGUAGGAGUGAAAUCUGUAGAGAUCAGGAAGAACACCGGUGGCGAAGGCGAGCCUCUAUUCGAGGACUGACGCU